UACGUAGGGUGCGAGCGUUAAUCGGAAUUACUGGGCGUAAAGCGUGCGCAGGUGGUCAUGCAAGACAGAUGUGAAAUCCCCGGGCUUAACCUGGGAAUUGCAUUUGUGACUGCAUGGCUAGAGUGUGGCAGAGGGGGGUGGAAUUCCACGUGUAGCAGUGAAAUGCGUAGAGAUGUGGAGGAACACCGAUGGCGAAGGCAGCCCCCUGGGCUAACACUGACGCUCAUGCACGAAAGCGUGGGGAGCAAACAGG
rnacentral:rRNA from 1 species